AGAGCGAACGCUGGCGGCAGGCUUAACACAUGCAAGUCGAGCGGGCGUAGCAAUACGUCAGCGGCAGACGGGUGAGUAACGCGUGGGAACGUACCUUUUGGUUCGGAACAACACAGGGAAACUUGUGCUAAUACCGGAUAAGCCCUUACGGGGAAAGAUUUAUCGCCGAAAGAUCGGCCCGCGUCUGAUUAGCUAGUUGGUGAGGUAACGGCUCACCAAGGCGACGAUCAGUAGCUGGUCUGAGAGGAUGAUCAGCCACAUUGGGACUGAGACACGGCCCAAACUCCUACGGGAGGCAGCAGUGGGGAAUAUUGGACAAUGGGCGAAAGCCUGAUCCAGCCAUGCCGCGUGAGUGAUGAAGGCCAUAGGGUUGUAAAGCUCUUUUGUGCGGGAAGAUAAUGACGGUACCGCAAGAAUAAGCCCCGGCUAACUUCGUGCCAGCAGCCGC
rnacentral:rRNA from 1 species